rnacentral:rRNA from 1 species
ACCGGGGGUAGAGCACUGGAUGGGCUAGGGGGCCUACAAGCUUACCGACCCCAACUAAACUCCGAAUACCGGAUACAUGUUUCAUGGCAGUGAGACUGCGGGGGAUAAGCUUCGUAGUCAAAAGGGAAACAGCCCAGACCAACAGCUAAGGUCCCAAAAUCUAUGCUAAGUGAUAAAGGAUGUCAAAUCGCCCAGACAGCUAGGAGGUUGGCUUAGAAGCAGCCAUCCUUUAAAGAAAGCGUAACAGCUCACUAGUCAAGGGGUUUUGCGCCGAUAAUUCCCGGGACUGUUAAGCAUAGUACCGAAGCUUUGGACUUCCGACAUUUGUCGGAAUUGGUAGGCGAGCGUUCCAUUAACCUGUGAAGGUUGAUCCGUGAGGACAGCUGGAGGAGAUGGAAAUGAGUAUGCUGGCAUGAGUAGCGAUAAACACGGUGAAAUUCCGUGUCGCCGAAAGCCCAAGGGUUCCUGAGUAAAGUAACUCUUCUCAGGGUUAGUCGGAUCCUAAGCCGAGGCCGAAAGGCGUAGGCGAUGGAAAACGGGUUUAAUAUUCCCGUACCAGUUUUUGAUUGUUUGAGCUAUGGGGUGACGCAGGAGUGAAAGGUCAGCCCGGUUUUGAUUGUCCGGGUUUAAGUGUGUAGGAGGUCCUGGUAGGUAAAUCCGCCGGGAUAUUAAACUCUGAGACACGAAUAGGAGUCCUUAGGACAUAAACUGACCAUAACCAUACUGCCAAGAAAAUCCUCUAUGUGAGAUCAUAAACUGACCGUACCCUAAACGGACACACGUGGGCAGGGAGAGAAUCCUAAGGCGCGUGAGAGAAUCCAGGUAAAGGAACUCGGCAAAUUAGCCCCGUAACUUCGGAAGAAGGGGUGCCCCCGGUAGGUUAAAUUCUUCGCGAAUGGAGCUGAAAGGGGUCGCAGUUACCAGGCCCAAUCGACUGUUUAUCAAAAACACAGGUCUCUGCUAAGUCGUAAGACGAAAUAUAGGGACUGACACCUGCCCGGUGCCGGAAGGUUAAAUGGAAGGGUUAGCUUCGGCGAAGCUCCGAUAUGAAGCCCCGGUAAACGGCGGCCGUAACUAUAACGGUCCUAAGGUAGCGAAAUUCCUUGUCGGGUAAGUUCCGACCUGCACGAAUGGUGUAACGAAUUGGGCACUGUCUCUACCUGGAGCUCAGUGAAAUUGAAGUGUCGGUGAAGAUGCCGGCUACCCGCAGCAGGACGAAAAGACCCCGUGAACCUUUACUACAACUUAGUAUUGGAUUCUGAUUCUAUCUGUGUAGGAUAGGUGGGAGGCUAUGAAACCUCAACGCUAGUUGGGGUGGAGCCAACCUUGAAAUACCACCCUUAUAUUGUUAGUAUCCUAAUUCCGACCCGUGAAACCGGGCGGAAGACAGUGCUUGGUGGGUAGUUUGACUGGGGCGGUCUCCUCCUAAAAAGUAACGGAGGAACUCAAAGGUCUUCUCAGCACGGUCGGUAAUCGUGCGUAGAGCGCAAAGGCAUAAGAAGGCUUAACUGCGAGGUCGACGGACCGAGCAGGUGCGAAAGCAGGACUUAGUGAUCUGGUGGUUCCGUAUGGAAGGGCC